rnacentral:rRNA from 1 species
GAUGAACGCUGGCGGCGUGCCUAAUACAUGCAAGUCGAACGAAACUUCUUUAUCACCGAGUGCUUGCACUCACCGAUAAAGAGUUGAGUGGCGAACGGGUGAGUAAUACGUGGGCAACCUGCCCAAAAGAGGGGGAUAACACUUGGAAACAGGUGCUAAUACCGCAUAACCAUAGUUACCGCAUGGUAACUAUGUAAAAGGUGGCUAUACUACCGCUUUUGGAUGGGCCCGCGGCGCAUUAGCUAGUUGGUAGGGUAAAGGCUUACCAAGGCAAUGAUGCGUAGCCGAAUUGAGAGGUUGAUCGGCCACAUUGGGACUGAGACACGGCCCAAACUCCUACGGGAGGCAGCAGUAGGGAAUCUUCCACAAUGGGCGAAAGCCUGAUGGAGCAACGCCGCGUGGGUGAAGAAGGUCUUCGGAUCGUAAAACCCUGUUGUUAGAGAAGAAAGUGCGUGAGAGUAACUGUUCACGUUUCGACGGUAUCUAACCAGAAAGCCACUGCUAACUACGU